AGGGAGAAAAGCCCGCCCGAGGCGCGGUGCUGACGGUGGCUGGGCUGCCGGGUGCGCUGUGGAACCGCCUCCUGCUAGAGCAGCGGGCUGGCGACGGUCCUCGCCGGGGCGGGAAGCGGCUCAGGCUGCCCUCGCUGGCCUGCGGCGGCGCGGCUGGAAGCGCGGGCCACUCGUGCGUGGGUCACUCAGGACUGCGCCUCGCGCGACUGUGUGUGCAGGAAACAAGCAGGAAAUACCCUAAAAGAGAAUGAAGCGCCAUGUUGAGGGUCGCGGACGUCGCGAGUGCUGUGGGAAUGUGGGCUGAGGUGGAGAGUUAUGGUAGCCCGUGUUACAGGCUCAGGGGUCUGAAAGAAGCCUAAUCGUGGAGGCGGCAUCUGAGGAGGGUCUUGAAGGCUGGGCAGGCAUUUGCCCGACAGAGAUGGAGGAAGCUAGUCCUGUCUGAUGGAGGAAACAGGGCGGAGGCGUGGAGGGAGCCGUGCAGCGCUGGUGUGAGGAGCAGCGAGCAGGCCAGGCCUGUAAAGCAGAGUGAGGGAACCAGGAUAGAGAAGGCAAGUCGGGGUCCUGUGGUCGCUGAAGAAUUUGAAUGAAAUCAGUAAACAGGUGAGAGGGAUCCAUCGCAAGAGCAUGGGAUGAAAGGAGGAGUAGUCCACGGUGAUUCCUCUGCAGCGGUGGGUGUUAUUAAUCGCGUAUGUGACACCAAAACCACCCCACUCAAGCUGUGGCUCUUUCCCUAAAGUAGAAAACCGAGACCAGUUGGGUUCCAAGCAUCCACGAAGAUCUUAUUAAAUUCGUGAUCCCUGGUGGCACCAUGGAGUCAGGAUUGGCUCAUCUCAAACCUGACUCAGAAACAAAACCGUCACAAUGUGCAGAGAUGAGCGUCCUUACCGCUAUCAACGUAUUUUCUGGUGUUUUCACAGUGCUGCGCUUCCUAAUCCCCAUUCCAUGGCAAUCCACAUGCCAUGAUGCCCGGAGUCAUUAACAAAGGAGACACACAGGGGCUCCUCACGUUGGCUUUCCAGGGUUUUGAUGAAAAUCUGUUUCCUCGUCUCAUACAAUGUGGCUGUACAGGAAGCAUGGUGAUGGCAUCUGCAUGGCGCCUGUGGAGGCCCCAGGGAGCUUUUACUCAUGAUGGAAGGCACAGAGGGAGUAGGCACAUCACAUGGUCCGAGGAGGAGCAAGAGAAAAUGGGAGUGGGGCUCUUUGUCCUGGGAAGAGUUUGCUGCAUCUUCCAGUUUCAGUAAUCAAAGAAGCAAAGUUCCCUGCAGUUCUUCAAGGAACCUUGAGAAUUCAGAAGGUCUUGGGGUGGCUGCAUCCAUCCUGCAGACAAAUGCCAAUCAGCAGAGGGGCCAUUCCCAGGGACACAUGUCUGGCUGACUUGGGCCUUGGCCAGGCUUUGGAUUCACCUUGAAAACAUCCCCUCUGAACAUCAGAAGUCCACUUGGUCCCCGAACAGUGUAUUAACUUCUAACAUUUCUGACUUCCAGUCAUGGAGAUUUCAAAACCAAUUGCAUAUAGCAAUGAAGCUUUUCACUUUUAAUGGAACAUUUAGGAGAAGGGCGGCUUUUCCUAUUUUCUGUGUUAUCUUCAGCCUGUUAACUGUUGUCAGCCCUGGAGAGAAACCAUCCCUUCUCCUUAAAAACAUGAACCACAUACUAAGUUGCUUCUUGCCUCUUAAAGAUUCAGGUCACUCAGGUACAUCAGACUGAGACAGGACGCUCAGGUACAUCAUACUGAGACAGGACACUCAGGUACAUGAUACUGAGACAAACACUCAGGUACAUCAUACUGAGACAGGACGCUCAGGUACAUCACACCGAGACAGGACAUGUUGAUUGUUGGUGUGUAUUUCUCCCAAGCCACCACUCAAACCAGUGUUUGAUUUCCAUGGAGGUUGGCUGAUGGCUUUUAGCUUGAGCCCCAACAGUGUGACUUCAUACAAGGCAAUUUCUUCAGAAAUAUCAUGGAACUUCAGGGACAUUAUAUUAUUAAAUUAAAAAAACCUAAUAUGUUAAUUUUUUCAUUAAAGUUUAUGAGUUUACUGAGUUUUUCUUUUCCAAAAUAGUUAAUGAGCUUUUGAGUCAUGUUUUUUAUGAAAGGAUUGACUUUCUCAUGGCGUCCAACUCUGUAGAUAAUCAUCCGAAACAGAUUUGACUGUAUUUGUUUAACAAAAGUCUGCCUAAACCAAACUCUGCCCUGAAUUUUUUGUUUUCCACACGUAUGUGCUAAAUCUGUGUAAUUUGGUAGUUUGUCUCUCCAGAACCACUGUUGGUCUUGUGUCACUAAUCAGCAGAGGCAGCAGUCUGACGGGUCCACAGAGACAAGGGAGGCAGCGGGAGGAAUGCAGUGGCCAGGCAGGUGAGGGACCUCAGGACCAGCAGCUCAGCCGCAUCCUUGCAUGCAGUGGCCAGGCAGGUGAGGGACCUCAGGACCAGCAGCUCAGCCGCAUCCUUGCAUGCAGUGGCCAGGCAGGUGAGGGACCUCAGGACCAGCAGCUCAGCCGCAUCCUUGCAUGCAGUGGCCAGGCAGGUGAGGGACCUCAGGACCAGCAGCUCAGCCGCAUCCUUGCAUGCAGUGGCCAGGCAGGUGAGGGACCUCAGGACCAGCAGCUCAGCCGCAUCCUUGCAUGCAGUGGCCAGGCAGGUGAGGGACCUCAGGACCAGCAGCUCAGCCGCAUCCUUGCAUGCAGUGGCCAGGCAGGUGAGGGACCUCAGGACCAGCAGCUCAGCCGCAUCCUUGCAUGCAGUGGCCAGGCAGUUGAGGCACCUCAGGACCAGCAGCUCAGCUGCAUCCUUCUCUUUUCCCAAGGUCGCACUGAGCAAGUCAGGAUGGUGAAGAAAGUCUCCAUCUCCAAACUGAACACAGGAUUUGUUGAGGUGGCCUCCUGGAGCCUAAGUGUGUUUGGGGUGAUAUCUACAAACUUCCAUCACUGCUUCACUGGUGGCCUUUGGAGAAUCACCAUUUUUUUUCGGUCUUGUUCUGUGGGAUAUAUUCUGAAAAAAUAGGACAAAUGCUAAAAUAGCGAUGUCAAAUUUAAGUUUUUCAUAGAAAUAGCAUAGUAGGGAACUAUACUCAUUUUUAUAAGGAAUACAUUUAAUCGUUACUCUUUCCCUUCCUUUUUUCUUUCCUUAAGAAAUAUUGAACGUUGAUUAUGUACAAAGAAUAGAAUAUGAUGGGAAACAAUACAAGUACCUUAUUACAUAUCGCAUAGUAUAAAUCUUUAAAUUGUGACUAUAAAUUAAACAGAGCCCCUUGAUGUCAUGGCUCAUGCCUGUAAUCCCAGCACUUUGGGAGGCCAAGGCAGGUGGAUCACUUGAGCCCAGGAAUUCAGGACUAGCCUGGGCAACAUGGCAAAACCCUGUCUCUACAAAAUGUACAAAAAUUAGCCAGGCAUGAUGGCUCACGGCUUCAGUCCCAGCUACGUGGGAGGCUGAGGAAGGAGGAUCACUUGAGCCCUGGAGAUUGAGGCUGCAGUGAGCCAUGACUGUGCCACUGCACUCCAGCCUGGGCAACAGAGUGAGACCUGUCUCAAUCAAUCAAUCAAUCAAUCAAUCAAUAAAACAGAGCAACUCAGCAAUAAUUAUAUAUUUAAUUAUUCUAAGUAUUAUAUUAUGUUUAAUAAUAUAAUUAUAUUUAAAUAUUAUAUAUUAUGUAACACAUCAAAGUGUAUCAUAUGAAGUUUUUUGUCUCCAUCAGUCUCUCUUAUUUUGAUAGUAAUGAUAAAACACUGGCCCAACUUAAUCCUCAGAAUGUGUUUAUUGAAUUAAAUGGUAGCCAUGGAAUUCAGAAGAACUUAUUUGAAGAGCUUUAAAAGAGAAAUAACACUUAUGAUUUUCCCUAUUACAAAAGUAUUUGUUCAUAGUAGAAAAUUGGAAAAUUCUGGGAAACAUAAGGAAUAAAAGAACAAUCAUGCCUAAUUCUAUCAUUCAGAGAUAGCAAUUACUACUAAUAUUUUGGCAUAUUUUCUCUAGCCUGUGUGUGUGUGUGUGUGUGUGUGUGUGUGUGUGUAUCUGUGUGUAUGUGUGUGUGUACACAAAGAAAAAGCCAGAGGAAAUGCCAUUUUUUUAUACAAAUAUAAAACAAAAAUGAGAUCUCACAAUAUACAUUGCUUUUAGACAUAUUCUUAAAAUUUAUAUCAUGAG
rnacentral:lncRNA from 10 species